CUAGGCCUACGGGAGGCAGCAGUGAGGAAUAUUGGUCAAUGGCCGCAGGGCUGAACCAGCCAAGUCGCGUGAGGGAUGACGGUCCUAUGGAUUGUAAACCUCUUUUGUCAGGAAGCAAAGGGCGCCACGUGUGGCGUUUUGCGAGUACCUGAAGAAAAAGCAUCGGCUAACUCCGCGCCAGCAGCCGCGGUAAUACGGAGGAUGCGAGCGUUAUCAGGAUUUAUUGGGUUUAAAGGGUGCGCAGGCGGAAUGUCAAGUCAGCGGUAAAAUUUUGGGGCUCA
rnacentral:rRNA from 1 species